rnacentral:rRNA from 1 species
UGAGUUUGAUCCUGGCUCAGAGCGAACGCUAGCAAUAUAUAUAACACAUGCUAGUUAGUAUUUAAUAAAAUACAGCGUACAGGUGAGUACAUAUAAGAAUUUACCCAAUAAAACUAGUAUUAAAACUUAUCUUAGGUUGAUCUAAGUUAACUGUAUAAGGAGUUAAUAUAAUAAAAGGUUUAACACCGCUAUUGGAUAAGCUUAUAUAAAAUUAGGUUGUUGGUAGAGUAAAAGCCUACCAAGCCGAUGAUUUUUAGUUGAUUUGAGAAAAUGAAUAAUCACACUAGGACUGAGAUAAGACCUAGGCUUGCCAGCAGUGGGGAAUAUUGGACAAUUAGCGAAAGCUUGAUCCAGUAAUAUUGCAUAAAUGAUGAGUAGCACAAAAGAGUUUUCAUUAAUUUGGGAAUUCGGUUGUAAAGUUUAAUUUAAUUUUUUAUAAAGAUUAUGACGUUAAAAUUAAAUAAGCCCCGGCUAACUUCGUGCCAGCAGCCGCGGUAAUACGAAGGGGGCGAGCGUUGUUUGGAAUGAUUGGGCGUAUAGCGUUCGUAGACUGAAUUUUUUGAUUACAUGUGAAAUAUUAUAUUUAUAUAUAACUAAUGCAGUAAUACUUUAAUACUAGAGUGUAAUAGAGGAUAAUAGAAUUUUAAAUUAAGGAGUGGAAUCUUAAGAUAUUUAAAGGAAUGCCAAUGGCGAAGGCUAUUAUCUGGGUUAUAACUGACGUUGAGGAACGAAGGCGUAGGGAGCAAACAGGAUUUGAUACCCUGGUAGUCUACGCAGUCAAAACUGAGUGCUAAUAUAAAGAGACAUAUUUUUAUAUAAAGUUUACACGUGAAGCACUCCGCCUGGGGAGUACAAUUUCACAAUUGAAACCCAAAGGAAUUGACGGGAGUCUACACAAGUGGUGGAGCAUGUGGUUUAAUGCGAAAGUACACGCAGAAUCUUACCAGUCUUUGCAUAAUUUUUAAAAAUUUUAUAGAGAUAUAAAUUUAUUUACUUUAUUGAAACGUAUAAAGAUAAAAAAAAAUUACAGGUGUUGCAUGGCUGUCGUCAGCUCGUGUUGUGAAAUGUUAGGUUAAUUCCUAGAUACGAGUGUAACUCUUAGUUUAUAAUUAAAAAAAAGCAUUUUUUAUAUAAACAACACCGUGAUGAUAGAAAAUUCGAUGAAGAAGAGAAAGAUGUCAAGUCCUUAUGGCCCUAAUAGACUGGGCUACACACGUGCUACAAUGGUAUUAACAAAGAGUUGUACAAUAAAGAAAUUUAAUGUUAAUCUUUAAAAUUUAUCACAAUCGGAUUAUAAACUGAAAUUCGUUUAUAUGAAGCAGGAAUCACCAGUAAUCGUAGAUUAGCAUGCUACGGUGAAUAUGUGCUUAGAUUUUGCACACACCGCCCGUCAC